rnacentral:tRNA from 1 species
CGGGACGUGGCGCAGUUGGUAGCGCGCAUGGCUGGGGGUCAUGAGGCCGCGAGUUCGAGUCUCGCCGUCCCGA